AGAGAGCUUAGAAACAGACCCACGUAGGUAGAGUAACAUGGUUCAUGACCAAGGGGGCAUUUUUAUUUUUACCGGAAAAUGGAAAAAGGGAGACGAAACGAAAGCAGACCAAUAACCCCAACGAGAAUAAUAAUCGCGAACACAUGUUAGGAGAUACCAGCCAGGCACUGUUCAAAGGCUUUAUGUGUGUAACUCACAGAAUCCUCACCCCCUCACAGUAGCUCUCGCGGCAGCAAAGAUACAGAGAAGUCAGAAAACCAACCCCAGGACACAGAGCUAGCAACUGGAUCCCCAGGAUCCCAACCAAGACUCCAGACCCGUGGCAAACCCCAGGAUGUUACCUGUGCUUCUACAAAGUGGCUACAGCUUGGAGGUUUUAACAACCUCUUUGCGACUGGUUUAGAAGAACAGAAAAACAACAAGGCCCCAAACCAAGAUUCCAUGAAAACUUUGGUUGAACACAGUCUUUAUUUCAGGAAACAUGCUGAGGAGAUGGUAUUUUACGGUCAGUG